AGUCGUAACAAGGUUUCCGUAGGUGAACCUGCGGAAGGAUCAUUAAUGAGAUCAUGCCCCUUCGGGUGAGACCUCCCAGCCCACUGUUUCACCCGUACCCGGUUGCCUUUCGGCGGUCCCGUCGUCAACGACGGGCCGCCAGACGGCAGCUUUUCAAAAUCCCUGCAUUAAUCUUGUCGUCUGAGUACUAUACAAUAGUUAAAAG
rnacentral:misc_RNA from 1 species